AAGUCGUAACAAGGUAACCGUAGGUGAACCUGCGGUUGGAUCAUUAUUGAUUUUUAUCCAUUUUUUUUUAAAAGAGUUGCCUUUUUUUUUUUUAGUUGAGAUUUUUAAAAAAAUUUCCUGAAAAUAAUUAUAGAAAGGUUUUCUCUUUAAAAAAAAAAUGAUAUACACCUUUGUGAACUGUUUUAUGUAUUUUUGGUUGAGAGAUUUUUUUUUCUCAACCAAACAUUCUUAACAAACCACUAUAUUUUUGACUGAAUUUUUUUUAAUUUAAAAAAAAAACAACUUUUGACAACGGAUCUCUUGGCUCUC
rnacentral:misc_RNA from 1 species